CCUACGGGGGGCUGCAGUGGGGAAUAUUGCGCAAUGGGCGAAAGCCUGACGCAGCAACGCCGCGUGCGGGAUGAAGGCCUUCGGGUUGUAAACCGCUUUCAGCAGGGACGAAGUGAAAAUGACGGUACCUGCAGAAGAAGCACCGGCUAACUACGUGCCAGCAGCCGCGGUGAUACGUAGGGUGCGAGCGUUGUCCGGAAUUAUUGGGCGUAAAGAGCUCGUAGGCGGUCCGUCACGUCGGGAGUGAAAACUCGGGGCUUAACCCCGAGCCUGCUCUCGAUACGGGCAGACUUGAGGAAGGUAGGGGAGAACGGAAUUCCUGGUGGAGCGGUGGAAUGCGCAGAUAUCAGGAGGAACACCAGUGGCGAAGGCGGUUCUCUGGACCUUAUCUGACGCUGAGGAGCGAAAGCGUGGGGAGCAAACAGGCUUAGAUACCCCAGUAGUC
rnacentral:rRNA from 1 species